rnacentral:rRNA from 1 species
GAUGAACGCUGGCGGCGUGCCUAAUACAUGCAAGUCGAGCGAAUGGAUUAAGAGCUUGCUCUUAUGAAGUUAGCGGCGGACGGGUGAGUAACACGUGGGUAACCUGCCCAUAAGACUGGGAUAACUCCGGGAAACCGGGGCUAAUACCGGAUAAUAUUUUGAACUGCAUGGUUCAAAAUUGAAAGGCGGCCUCGGCUGUCACUUAUGGAUGGACCCGCGUCGCAUUAGCUAGUUGGUGAGGUAACGGCUCACCAAGGCAACGAUGCGUGGCCGACCUGAGAGGGUGAUCGGCCACACUGGGACUGAGACACGGCCCAGACUCCUACGGGAGGCAGCAGUAGGGAAUCUUCCGCAAUGGACGAAAGUCUGACGGAGCAACGCCGCGUGAGUGAUGAAGGCUUUCGGGUCGUAAAACUCUGUUGUUAGGGAAGAACAAGUGCUAGCUGAAUAAGCUGGCACCUUGACGGUACCUAACCAGAAAGCCACGGCUAACUACGUGCCAGCCGCCGCCGUAA